GUCUGAUACCUGCGGGCAGUGUGUAACUACUGGUGUGAACUGUGAAGGUAAUCAGCACCACUCCUUUUUCGCCUGAUCUGCACUGUCUCUCACCUGGCACAGAUACAAAGAACUUGACAGCAUCUCGAUGACCGUGAAAACAGAGCUGGGCUUGGGCCAUGGAGCAAUAUGGGAUGAAGCUGCCCGCCGUCUUGUCACUGGUCUCAUCGCUGUACACAUGGAUGACACCUCCAGGCCGUGUUCCCUCUCCAGACGUAGGAGAAGUCUUAUUGGCUGAGGACACAGAUGAGGGUUUAGCGGUGGAAUCAUAUGGAUAUUAUAAUUCAGUAGCAUUUUUAUAUAAUUGACUAAAUGGGUGUGAAUGUAGGAUUAGGAGGGUCACUCUAUAGCAGGAAUGGUCACCUUCAUAUAAAUAUAACUUAUAUGUCUUAAGCAAUAGCAUUUAUCCUAAGAGGGGUUACAAAGCAACGUGAGCAUAACUAAAUAGAUCAUAUUUAUUACUAUUGUCCACUGCAUAUUUUUUUAACAAGUCCCUUUAUUCUUAAAUAAACCUUUGUAAAUAUUGCCAACAAA